UUGGCUAUUCUUUUUUCUUUUGCCUUCUCUCUCUUCCUCUUCUUCGUCUCUUCGUCUUCUUUCUUUGUUUUUCUUUUUGAUCUGAGAAAUCGAUCGGGACGUCGGGUGGGGAUCGUUUUCGGUCGUGUAGAUGGAACGUGGUUGUUAUCAAGGAGAUCGCCAUGGAGAUUGCGAUGUCGGAGAUUUUCAUCUCGAGGGAGAAGUCGCGAUUUUCAUAAGGUCCGAAGAAGCUCAACCAUGUAAAAGCUUCCAUGAGAGAGGCGAAGUCAGGGAGACGACCAAGAGGAGAAGGUUUGUUAGCUUAACUUCCUAUUUACAGAAUUAAUAACCUGUAUGAAAAGCACUAUCUUUGCUUCUGCUUGAUCGGAUUGUUUUGGGCUUCACAAGAAGAUUAAAAUUUGUUAAGGCUCUGUGAUAGUUUCGAAAUUUAGUUCCAUUUUAAACCAAGGUUUUAAUUUUUAUUUUCUUUCUCGCUCUGUUUGUUUUAAUGCUUUGUGUACGAGUCUGUAAUGGUUAAAGUAUGUUUCUCUUUUGCUGGUUAAACAUUGUGAUGGUUUGCUUAUGUUCACUGUCUUGCUUUGUAUGUUGGAAAGUCUGCUUGUAUUCACUCACAGUCUCGUUUUACAGUAGAAGUGAGUCUACUUUUGAUUUGGCACCAAUGCAGACAAACCCGAGAUCACUGUCUUGUUAGACUUGUGUCUGCUUGUGUUCCACCAUUCAUGAUCGAUAUAAAGUAGAAAGAGUUGUGUCUGCUUGUCAUUAUAAUAUGGUCUUUUGUUUCCUGAUCGUUUCACUUCUUGUCUCGCUUGCUUAUUGUAUCUUCUUGCUUUUGUGGUGUUCUGAUGUAUAUUUUGUAUCUUUUGUUGAAAUCAGUAGAGGGUAGUUUUUUAUUGUUGUUAUAAAAAAAAUUUAAGGUUCUCCAUUGGACAAGGAGAAAUUUAAUUAGACUAACAUAGGUUCUAAACUAUUCAAAUCACAAAAUCAAUUACUAAUUUAUUCAUUAGAACCCCUAAGGGUCUCUAACCAAUGGAGGUAGUCUUAGUCUCUUCGUCUCGAUCUCUCCUCCGUUGUGUUUGAGGGUCAGUUUCUUCAUGGCUUCCACCGGACAAACCUUCAAUCAUCGUCGUACAUGGACAGCCGAGUUAAAUCUCUUGUCUUAGUUCUUUUUUAGGAUUUUGAUUUGUCUUGAGUAUCUGUUUCUGUGUCUAGAGUUCCUGUCUUGAGUCUCUUUUUCUGUUACACACAAUCGAUUAUCUCUGCUGAUAUUCUCAGCUAGGGUUUCUCUCUUAGGGUGUUGAAUAUCUGACUUAUAAUAUCCUCUCUGGUAUUUGAUUUAUCUUGUUCUAUGUGUAAUGGUUCUUUGUAUCUGGUCUUCAAUAUCUUGUUUAUCUUGUUCUGAUUUAACUUGUCUCUGGUCUUAAUUAUCUUGCUCUGUGUUAUAGCCUUAUUAUAGUAGCUAGUUUAUAUUGGGGUUCUUGUUAAUACUCUUUGUGUUACAAUUUGGUUCUUUGUGUAAUGGUUUAUGUGUUAUGAGGUGGGAGGAGGGGGAGAGGGCUUGGAGCAUCUCUUCAAUUUUAAGGAUUUCGUUGUCAAGAAACUGAGAGAUUUCUGGAUAGAAGCUCUAUAUGCGUUUCAUACUUUGGUUGAAGAUGGAAGCUCUGUGUGCGUUUCAGGAUUUGGAGUUAACUGCUCUCACUCAGUUAGAGAAGUUCCUCAGCUUAGUUUCAGUCUUUGAUUUAGCUUUGGGGAGAUUAUGAAAGAUGUUGAGAUCUUUGGUAAAACUCUCCUCUCUGUCGUUACUCUCGUGCUGCACAUCAGUCGUAGAGCUUAUGUUAGGUGUAGCCAUUAAGGCCAGUUCAACAGACAAGAUCUGCUUUGCUAGCUUAUCAGCUUCAACAUUUCUCACACGAGAAAUCCAAUGGAAAGAAAUACAUUCAAAAGAAGAUGCUAAAGAGAGAAUGUCGACUAAGAUCCCAUAGAGACCGGUCAAUGAUGAUUCCGUUUUGAGAGCCUUGAUCAGUACUGCCGAGUCCGAUUCGCAUCUAACCCUUGAGAGACCGAGUUCCUUGCAUUUUUCUAGAGCUUCUCUUAAGGCCAGAGCUUCUGCUGCUAGUGGUGAACUCACAUGGUGAGCAGGAACAGAGUAAGAGGAGACCCUGUUUUGUGAUUGCACUGUCCAACCAAGACCUGCAAUUCUUUGCUCUUCAUGCCAAGCGGCAUCUGAUUUGAUAAGGCAGCAGUUCGGUGGCAUAGUAAGCGGGGGAUUCAGUGGACGAGAUGCAGCUAGUGUUUUGUUCAUGAUUUGUUUUUGUAAAAGAAACAGAGGCUAUCCUGGCCUUGUACUCAUAUUUUUCAUUGAUUUGUUCAUAGCUCUAUGAUUUCUAAACGGAUCACCAUCACGGACAAGAUGACCAAUUUAAAGCUUUGGAGAAGCUGGGUUUUCAACAAAAAUUACAGUGUUUGUAGAUCUUUUUGUAUUUAGUUUUUACAAUGUUAGCAUUUAGUAUUAAACAAGUUAAUGUUUGUUCAAUUAUGUUUGAAAUUAAAUUAAUUUUCAUUUUUUCAUUUUGAGAAUUAAUUAUAAUUUUAAAUAAAUUAUAUUUUAAAUUCAUUAUUUAACUUAUAAUUUGGCUACAAAUGGUCUGUAGCUAUAUAAAGCAAUAUAAUAAGUUGUAGCUAUAUUGUUGAUAUUGGCUACAGAAACAGUUAUUGCUAGUUCAUUGCUAAAUAGCUACAAAAUGGCUGCGAAUCGAGUUUAGCACCGGCUCUGAGGCCAAAUAGUUAAUUUGUUGCUAUAUGUAGCUGAGCUGAUUUUAGCUACAGAUUGUAUGUGAUAGCUACAAAAUAAUCGGUAGCUAUUUAAGUAAAUUCUUGUAGUGAGAUAAAGUUGAUCCCAGCUGAUAAUAACAAGGAGUCUCCAGAUUCGUUGUCUCAUACAGCUUCCACUUCAAAAGUUUUUUAUGUCAAAAUCUCUCUCUCUAUCUUUCCUCUGACUAUAAGAAUUUGUUCUUCUUUAUGGAUUCGUUAACCCUAUGUAUAAGAGUAUGAGUUUUAGUUUACUGCAGUAUAUUCUCUUGAGAUGUUGAUUUGGGGUUUUUGAUCAGGUUUUAGGAGAGAUUGUUGGAUCCAAUAGAAGCAAACAUGAUUAAGCUUGCAGCAGUAAAAAACUUAAUAGAGAAGUGUGAUGGCAAAUGUGACAAUAAGGACGAUGUAAACCCUCCUGAGGCCCCCACAAGAUUUCAUUUAUGUUAGAGCUAGAAGGGGUCAUGAAACAAGUUGACACAGGCUCACUGAAAGAAAACUCAUACCUUCGAGAAACAUGUUUAUUUUUUUGUCCAUUUUUUCUGUUCAACUUUACAGUGUUGAUGUUUGUAUUUGGUUAUCAGGCAAAAGGAAAAUAUAUCAGCAAGAGGAUGACUUUACUUCAGGAUAUGGUUCCUGGUUGCAACCGGAUAACAGGGAAAGCGGUAAUGCUUGAUAAAAUCAUCGAAUAUGUUUCAGAGACAAGUCGAGUUCUUUUCUAUGAAGCUGGCUACUAUAAAUCCCAGGGUGGAGUAAAACCAUGAUGCUGCUUUAUCCACAUAGCUUGCUCAGAGCAAAGACUUCCGUCAUGAUACUAUUUUCUUACCAAGAACAUGCCUAGAUUCUCAGACGCACAAUUCCCCUCGAGUGAUGGAUUUGUUCAAGCCAAGACACACAGAUCCUGAAAAAAAAAAAAUUUGCAAAGCAUUGUUAAGAUGGCUUUUGGAGAUGUCCAGCAACAGAGCAACAACAACAGUUGUAAGAGAAGAUUUACAGCCAAAUUCUCCAAUAAGAAACGUGAUCCAGUGGGCAAAAAGGAGAGAAUAACCUCGCACUCUUUGUUUAAAAGUUGUGUUGACCACAUUGAGAUAAGUCUCCAUUUUGUUUUUGAAACCGAGAAGUCUCAACUUUGGAUUUAAAAGUUGUGUUGACC